AUUAAAAAUGUUGAAAUCCGAUUUUAUUUUAAAUAGGAGAGAGGAUCUCAAUGUUCUCUCGUUUUCAUUUCUUGAAUGGCAUUCUGGGGGACGAGGACGGCGAUCUCUCCUCCUCUUCCUCUUCCUCCUCCUCGUUUCUCUAAAGAGAUCUAAGAGGAUUUCCGGGUGAUCUUUUUCGUUUCUUUUGUACUGCUUGUGGUGGCAAUCUCAGUGUGGAUAAGAAGGAAACAGUGGGAGCUUGGUGAUUUUCCCUUCUCUAAUAUUAAACCAUAGUUCAAGCCAUAGCGGUACAAUCAAUUUGGGUGUACAUACAUUUAAGCUCUACCACAUAUGAUGUGGCACUAAGUAUGUAUCUAUGAUGGCCCUUGAUAUCUAAUGCAAUGCGAUUGGAUGGUUGAGGCACCAGUCCUAGGAAGAUAACAGAUGUGAGUUGUCACUGUAAUCAUUUUAUGUUCGAAUCCAUCAUCAAGCUAUCAACUGUUGUUGGAUGGUAACAGACUCUAUUUGUUGAUGUGCUCAUUAUGUUUCCAUUGAACCACUUGGGUGUCUGAGACAUCCCCUCCAUCACUAACUAGUAAUAGCAAUCAAUAUGAUCACAAUCUCAUAUUCUUGGUGUAAAACCAGAGAAAGAAGAUUGCUCCUCGGAACUUGUCAAAGACAACAUUUGACUAUUUCAAUUGGAGAGUCAGCAAUUCACAUACAAAGAUUUGAUCAGCAUAACUAAAAAUUUUGAGCAUGUCACUGGCGAGGGUCUGUGUUGUUUGCCAUGGUUAGGAAGCGGCAGUCAACUGGCUGUCAAGCUGCGCUCUCAGUCAUCAAUGCAGGGGACAAAGGUGUUCCAGACUGAGAUAAGAAAUUCCUUAGUUUUUUUCUUUGGAUUUUUAGAAAGGAAAUUCCUUUCUUGUUAAAUGUCAUAACAAGCAAAAGUUUUUGUAGGAGUGCUUUGGCCAUUUUGGAACUGAAAUAUGGGUUUUAAAUAAUAUAGAAAUGAUUAAUCUCUUCAACAGUCAUAUAUGAAAAUGUCCCUGAUCUUGGUCUGCAGGCCCAGCUCUUGUCCAGGAUUCAUCACAGAAUAUGUAACGGGUUUCAUAACCAGAAAGCUCAAUUAUCUGCAUCAAGCUCAUGGAGAUAAUAUUAGAUAGAGAUAAUUAUUUAGGGCCUGUUGGAUAUUGCUUUUGCUUUCUGUUUUCAUUUUCAAGAAUCCUACAAAAAAAUGAACUAGAUUGAACAAUGUGAUGAUGAAACCCUUCUAUUUUUUGAAAUUGUUUGUAGAAUCCACAGAGCUUUUUGAAGCAAAGAUUUAUUGCUUCCAAAAAUAGUGAAAAUAAAAGCAAUGAAUAGCAGAAGUUCUGUACAAUCUUAAACAUCAAUCUCCAUGUGGUAUUUAACUGAUUUAUGGAGUUAAAAACACAAAAAUAAGAGUACCAAACCUGAGUUUUAUUAUUUUGUUCAUAAUACGUGUCCUUUGCUCGUUUAACUUCUGAAAAGCAGUUCCUCAUUGAGGGAAAUUUAGGAACCUGAUAACAGUUUAAUUUUUAAAAUGAUAAAUGUAUAAAUACAAAUGUUUCUGGACAAGGGAAGUCAAGGUUUAAAUGUGUACUGCUCACCUUUGAAUCGCCCCCUCACUCAUGUUAUCUGCCACUAUUGUUGGCACUCCUGGAUACUUUGAUCCAGAGUAUGCUUUUUGCUGUGAUUGUUCAGUCUGCCUAUAGCUUAAAAUUUGGUAUGACAUGAAAAUUUAUUGACUAACAGACUGCGAAAAAAAUGAUACGUGUUGCCAUGGCAUGGAACCAUUGGAUUUUAAGUUUCUGAUAGUAUCUUAACAUGUUAUUACUGUUGGAUCUUAAUCAAAUAAUCAUAUAUGCCAUAUUUUGGUGCAGGCAUAUUCUACUGCUUUCUUUGUUAAUUACAUUUUCUUGUUAUCUGAAGUCUUAUCAUGGGAGCUAAUGUAUAUGCAUUUUAGUUUGUGUACGUACUAUUAUAUUUAUCAGCUGAAUGAUAAAAGCAAUGACUGGUUUUGGCGCCCAAGAAAGGAUGAAAGGGGAGUAUGAUACUAACUCCAUCUGGAAUGCAGCAGAAAUAGCAAUGAAGUGCGCACUGCCCAUGGCUAUUCAGAGACCUACCUUGAGCGAUGUGGUGGUGCAGUUGAAGGACUGCUUGUUACUGGAGCUUGCUUGUGAAAGGAUGGAGAUCCUAUCAGUUGUGAUGAUUCAAUUGAAGUGGCUACCAAGGGAGUGAAAGCAACCCUGGGGCCAACAGCAAGAUAUUUUUUUUUUUUCAGUUUCUCACCUCAAAUGUGUUUCAGCAUAAUCCAAUCAUUAGUCUGAGUUCAGUCCCAUUUCCUUAUUUCUAAAUUUCCUGACAUUUUAUGUUUGAACAGAACAUAUUCUUUUGAUCUCAAUGCAUGUUGUGACUCCAGUGUGAAGUCU